rnacentral:lncRNA from 1 species
UAUAUAUAUACAUAUAUGCAUAUAUUUAUUUAUUUAUUUAUUGGACAGGCAAGAAUAAAACACUUGCUUGUGUUGGAAGAAAGCAGUGCUUUCAGCAGAUCUUUGCCCUGCUCACCGCCUGGAGGCUGAGAUGCACAGCAGAACUGGGGCUUUCUUGUUCUUGGGCUCUGAUCUUCAGAUCCAUGGGCACUCAGGCACAUUCUUCAAAUCCUGAGUUUCUUCUGCUCCUCCAACACGCUGCUGUUACUUUCUGGGGUACCAGCCCCAGGUGCCCCCUGCGCUGUAGAAGCCACAGCGCUGUGCCUGUGCAGCCUGCUCCUGGCCCACCUGUUUGAAUUUUGCUGCCUCCUCUCAUUGUGAGCUCAAACCGUUGUGAUCAGGUUGGAAAGAAAAGGAAAGUAACAUCAGAAGGAGAAAAAAGGCUUUUUGUUUGUUUGUUUUCAUUUGUUUUGUGGGACUGUCACUCUGAGUCCCAUACAGUCAGUUUGAUUUUUUUUUGCUAGUUUUGAAUACUUACCCUCUCCUAAUGAUUACCUCUACCUCACCCUGGCAUGAUGCUCAGGUUUUUUCAACCCCCUACAAUCAAUCACAUGCUAAUACAUCUUCCUGCUGCCUGUUCCCGGCCCCAUCCCCCCGACAUGCCCCAGCACAAUAUUACCUCUCUGAAUGCAGAGAGAAACGAGGAGAGGCUCACAGAACAUGUGAAUCACAAGGAAGUGGUUUCCCUAGUGACAGUAACCACAUGAAAGCUCUCACAUUUACUCUCACGGGACCUUUUAGCACUUUGGAUUGUGGGGAGAGCAAGAAAGCCGGUAAAAAACGCUGUGGUUGGUAAAGAAACAAGCUAACCCUGAAAUGCUAAAUGGUAUGGGCAACCCAUGAGAAGACACCAGCUCCUGGGGAUUUUCAUGAGCUUCACUCGUGCCCUGCUGAACUGCACAGCUGCUCUCAGGGCCCUCCUCCAGCAGACCAGAGACCUCCGAAAGGGGCAACACUGCCCGCCCAGGUCCUCACCCCCAUGCACGGUGCCGGCCGGGUUGGCAGGCAGCUCCCCGACACACACUUGGCUUCCUAUCCUCUCCCCUUGUCGGCGUUUCCCCCCACGGUGCCGUAUGGGGAGGCUGUGGGGACACUGGUGGGGGGGUGAGCGGGACUGUGGUGGCACCGGCACCAGUGCUGGGGACGCCGGGUGUCUGCGUGCUGGGGGACAGCACGAAGCCUGGCACGGAAAGAAUACAGCAGUCGACAGAGAGGCAGAUGGAAAGGAGCACCUUUGAAAGCCAUGCUCCGAGCAGUCACAAUGAGAGAGCCCGGAGAAGUGGUGUCCACAUGGGACAGAGACCAUGAAGGAGGAAGCGUCCUCGGCUGAAACACAACUGUCUUUCUCUCCUGUCUUGCCACCCUGGGCACAUUAGCUUAAUAACGAGCUUUUUAGCAGAUUUCAGUGAACAAGAAGCAAUUUAUUUGUCGUCAUGGAGACAAAGAAGACCUUCUGGAAAAGAGCGUUGAAUGGAGAGAAGAAGGUUUAUUGUGCAGAGCAAUGAGGCAUUCACUUGGAACAUUAGCAUCACACAAAGCGGACCAUACAGGAGGUCUUGCUAACUUCUGGAUGCAUGGUUGGAUGCAUUUUGGGUCCUCACUUUCCCUGGAUAAGCCAGGGAACUGGCACUUGGAGUUUUGCACAUGUUAUUUGAUGUCCACCCCUGUUCCUAGAUGACUCUGGGGGAAAGACAAAUGCUCCUUGUUGGUAGCUGACAUCGCUGAACCUCACUGGUUGCAUUUCUGGUGGGUAUUUCCAGGGACUGAAUUAUCAGAUUCAACUGCCAACUGAACAAACCCAAAUAAGCCAAGAGCAUGCAUCUCAAAGUGUACUUUGUUCAUUUAUUUUGACAACUCCGGUGUUUCUUUAAUUAUUUAUAACACUUCAUACUGUACUGGAGUAGAUUUUUGUAAAAAUAAUGAAGCCUUAGUAGUAUAGCAUCUACAAUCAGAUCUGCAGGGGAAGGGGGAGAUAGGCAGAGAUUCGCUCUCUGACGUGAGCAGAAAAUGAAAUGUAGGUUGGAAGCAAAUACUUCACUGCAACAAUUUUCAAAGACUAAAGCUGGGGAGACCCAGUGCCAUGGGGGUUAAAAGGAGACUUUGGGGGUGACUUUUUGGACUGGAAGAGCAGCUUCCUUUGGGAAAUGGCGAUUCACUUGCUUGCUCGUGCCAGAAGGUGCACAGGGGCUGCGCAUUGCCGCGUGGGCAACGCAAAACCUGUCUUUUUCACCCUGAUUC